ensembl:lncRNA
CACAUAAGACACUGUGUUUGGAAGAAAGUACAAAGAUUUUUCACACGAGUCUUUACAGGCUAGAAGACAAGCAUCCUCUGCUGCUCCAGCCACAGUGACAGGUCUGACACCCCCUCCUCACCAGCUCCUAAAUUCUCAGGUUUAACAGUCAAUCCGGCACACUGAAGAUAGGAUGAUGGACCAUCUUGGGACGCUCUUAAGUUUUUCCACAGCAACCUCUCAGUCCUGGGAAAGUCAGGAGGCUGAGUCACCCCGACAAUACCUGCUCAAGACAUAACUAAUACCAGCUAGCACUACCCUGCAAGCAAGGGUAGUGUCUGACCCCCUAUUCAGUGAUCCUGAGGGAAAGAAAUCUGAUUGGUCCUGCUUAAGUCAGGUGACCACCCUUCCCAACCAAUCAGCCGUGGCCACAGAGUACAAAUAUGGCUGCCAGGGAUGCAGUCAUUGGUUCAUGGCGUGGGUAGAUCUCUCAAAGGGUGGCAGCUGUCAUGUUUGUCUUUCCCCCAAUAAUGAACUCUUUAGGGGAAAGGACCAUGCCCUACUUUUUUGUUUUUGUUUUCUUUGGUCCUGCCAUAGGGGAUCUUAGUUCCCUAACCAGGGAUUGAACCUGUGUUUCUUGCAUUGAGAGCUCAGAGUCUUAACCACUAGACUACCAGGAAGUCCCCCCUGGUGACCAUGCCCUAUUUAUCUUUGUAUUCCAGAGCCUAGCACAUGUCUAACAGAAACUGUGUAAUAGAUAUGAGUUUUUUCUCUCUUCUCUUCUAACACAUCAAAUUUGUUCUACCUUAUACCUUGGCACUUACUGUUCCUUCCACCUAGAGUGUUCUUCCCCCACUCCACACGUGGCUGAGGUCUCACCUCAAACACCAGCCCUAAGCUCCAUCUAAAUUACAUUCCU